rfam:TPA: Bos taurus chromosome 6, whole genome shotgun sequence.
UCCCCUGUGGUCCAGUGGUUAAGACUCUGUGCUUCCAAGGCAGGGGGCAAAAGUUUGAUUCCUGUUUGGGGAA